rfam:Gossypium raimondii chromosome 7, whole genome shotgun sequence.
CCGACCUUAGCUCAGUUGGUAGAGCGGAGGACUGUAGUGGUGAAAGCUGUUAUCCUUAGGUCGCUGGUUCGAAUCCGGCAGGUCGGA